UACGAAGGGGGCGAGCGUUGUUCGGAUUUACUGGGCGUAAAGGGCGCGCAGGCGGCUCGUUUUGUCAGGCGUGAAAGCCCCGGGCUUAACCUGGGAGGUGCGUUUGAUACGGACGGGCUAGAGUUCGGGAGAGGAGAGUGGAAUUCCCAGUGUAGAGGUGAAAUUCGUAGAUAUUCGGAAGAACACCAGUGGCGAAGGCGGCUCACUGGCCCGGUACUGACGCUGAGGUGCGAAAGCGUGGGGAGCAAACAGG
rnacentral:rRNA from 1 species